GCCCGGUUGGUGAAAUUGGUAGUACACAAGAGACUUAAAAUCUCUCGGCGAAAGCCGUGUCGGUUCGAGUCCGACACCGGGUA
rnacentral:tRNA from 1 species